rnacentral:lncRNA from 1 species
GGAAAAGACACCAAGCACACUCAGAGCCUGCACCAGUACACCUGCCUGGCAGUGGGUGUGGAAGAGCCAAAACUGCAAUCAAGACCCCUACCCCCACCGGCCAGGUUCUCAGCGCCCACUGGUCUACGUUCCAGCCUCCUGGAGUCCCUCUGAGUGUGUCUGUGGCUGCAGCUGGACCCAGUUUUGAAUUCUUUUCAAGUUUCAUUUCAAAUGGGAUUUCAGAAUAAAAACG